GCACUCCCUUCGGCAGCACAUACACUAAAAUUGGAACAGUACAGAGAAGAUUCCAAUGGCCCUGCACAAGAAUAAUGGGCAAGUUUAUGAAGCAUUCCAUAUUUUU
rnacentral:snRNA from 1 species